rnacentral:rRNA from 1 species
UACCAGCACCCCGAGUGGUCGGGACGAUUAUUGGGCCUAAAGCAUCCGUAGCCGGUCCUACAAGUCUUCCGUUAAAUCCACCUGCUUAACAGAUGGGCUGCGGAAGAUACUAUAGGGCUAGGAGGCGGGAGAGGCAAGCGGUACUCAGUGGGUAGGGGUAAAAUCCUCUGAUCCAUUGAAGACCACCAGUGGCGAAGGCGGCUUGCCAGAACGCGCGCGACGGUGAGGGAUGAAAGCUGGGGGAGCAAACCGG